rnacentral:rRNA from 1 species
GUGGGGAAUAUUGGACAAUGGGCGAAAGCCUGAUCCAGCCAUGCCGCGUGUGUGAAGAAGGUCUUCGGAUUGUAAAGCACUUUAAGUUGGGAGGAAGGGCAGUAAGUUAAUACCUUGCUGUUUUGACGUUACCGACAGAAUAAGCACCGGCUAACUUCGUGCCAGCAGCCGCGGUAAUACGAAGGGUGAAAGCGUUAAUCGGAAUUACUGGGCGUAAAGCGCGCGUAGGUGGUUUUGUAAGUUGGAGGUGAAAUCCCCGGGCUCAACCUGGGAACUGCCUCCAAAACUGCAUGACUAGAGUACGGUAGAGGGUAGUGGAAUUUCCUGUGUAGCGGUUAAAUGCGUAGAUAUAGGAAGGAACACCAGUGGCGAAGGCGACUACCUGGACUGAUACUGACACUGAGGUGCGAAAGCGUGGGGAGCAAACAGGAUUAGAAACCCCUGUAGUCC